ncrna:unclassified sequences L13-Bacteroidia ribosomal protein leader
GGUAGCUUGCUUAGAAGUUGCCGCGCCGGAUAGUGUUAAUAGUCGUGCCUUUGGCCGGACACGAUGGUUAGGGAAUC